rnacentral:tRNA from 1 species
ACCCGUCUAGCUCCGUCGGUAGAGCGCUGGCCUUUUAAGCCAGUGGUCGUGGGUUCGAUCCCCACCGGGGGUU